rnacentral:rRNA from 1 species
UACGUAGGGUGCAAGCGUUGUCCGGAAUUAUUGGGCGUAAAGAGCUUGUAGGCGGUUUGUCGCGUCUGCUGUGAAAUUUCGGGGCUCAACCCCGAACUUGCAGUGGGUACGGGCAGACUAGAGUGUGGUAGGGGAGACUGGAAUUCCUGGUGUAGCGGUGAAAUGCGCAGAUAUCAGGAGGAACACCGAUGGCGAAGGCAGGUCUCUGGGCCGGUACUGACACUGAGGAGCGAAAGCGUGGGUAGCAAACAGG